UACGUAGGCAGCAAGCGUUGUUCGGAGUUACUGGGCGUAAAGGGUGUGUAGGCGGUUCUUUAAGUUUGGUGUGAAAUCUCCCGGCUCAACCGGGAGGGUGCGCCGAAUACUGAGGGACUAGAGUACGGGAGAGGAAAGUGGAAUUCCUGAUGUAGCGGUGAAAUGCGUAGAUAUCAGGAGGAACACCGGUGGUGUAGACGGCUUUCUGGACCGUAACUGACGCUGAGACACGAAAGCGUGGGUAGCAAACAGG
rnacentral:rRNA from 1 species